rnacentral:rRNA from 1 species
AGCGAACGCUGGCGGCGUGCCUAAUACAUGCAAGUCGAACGGAGUGGCGCACGGGUGAGUAAUAUAUAGCUAAUCUGCCCCUUGCUGGAGGACAACAGUUAGAAAUGACUGCUAAUACCCCAUAGCAAGGGAUGAGACUAUAUCGUAUCAGCUAGUCGGUGGGGUAACGGCCUAGCGUGGCUAUGACGCGUAACUGGUCUGAGUGGAUGAUCAGUCACGUUGGAACUGAGACACGGUCCGAACUCCUGCGGGAGGCAGCAGUAGGGAAUAUUGCUCAAGGGGGGAAACCCUGACGCAGCUACGGCGCGUGGGGGUUUACACUUUUCGGAGCGUAAACUCCUUUUGUUAGGGAAGCGGUACCUAACGAAUAAGCACCGGCUAACUCCGUGCCAGCAGCCGCGGUAAUUC